rnacentral:rRNA from 1 species
AUAACGACUCUYGGCAAMGGAWAUYUAGGCUCUCGCAUCGAUGAAGAACGYAGCGAAAUGCGAUACUUGGUGUGAAUUGCAGAAUCCCGUGAACCAUCGAGUUUUUGAACGCAAGUUGCGCCCGAAGCCAUUAGGCCGAGGGCACGUYUGCCUGGGCGUCACGC